rnacentral:lncRNA from 1 species
UUACCCAUAUUGACUUUAAUUUCAAAAUACAAAAAGAACUAAAAAUCCCAUUAAAAUUUUUGGCCUCUUGUGCCCCUUUUACUUAAACUUUCGUUAACAGUAAUUCACCAACUUCUUUGAAAUUUUUACCACGAACUACAAGGUUUUGAUCCCUCCUUUUUUGUUGGUACGUAGGCGUAAGACCAAAGGUCUUGUCAAACACAAAUAUAAUCAAU